rnacentral:rRNA from 1 species
CGUAGGUGGAACCUGCGGA